rnacentral:rRNA from 1 species
AGUGAACGCUGGCGGCGUGCCUAAUACAUGCAAGUCGAACGGAGUGGCGCACGGGUGAGUAAUAUAUAGCUAAUCUGCCCCUUGCUGGAGGACAACAGUUAGAAAUGACUGCUAAUACUCCAUAGCAAGGGAUGAGACUAUAUAGUAUCAGCUCUACGGUGGGGUAACGGCCGACCGAGGCUAUGACGCGUAACUGGUAUGAGAGGAUGAUCAGUCGCAUUGGAAAGGGGACACGGUCCAAACUCCUACGGGCGGGAGCAGUAGGGAAUAUUGCGCAAUGGGUGAAACCCUGACGCAGCAACGCCGCGUGGAGGAUUACACUUUUCGGAGCGUAAACUCCUUUUGUUAGGGAAGCGGUACCUAACGAAUAAGCACCGGCUAACUACGUGCCAGCAGCCGCGGUAAUUC